rnacentral:lncRNA from 1 species
GGAUGUAAUCACCUAUUAUGGGUUGGCUUAAUCUAAUGAAUUUGAUUUGGUUUACCUCCAUUUUCCUGUUUAUUUCGUUAGAUACGUGACUAUGUCUGGCUAUUGGGUUUCUUGAUCACUUACACCAAAUACUUGGGCGUCCUCUCUUUCAGUCCCCUGACUGUAGAUACUGUUGUUUAUGAUUGGACGCACUGGUUAAGAUUAACAUCAAAACCACGAGCAUGAGCUUUGAACUCAGAGGUAUGAUAGAACAAGUCAGCUUAACCCGUCCUGGUGAGAUCAUAAAAAGCCAAACACUUAUCAUCAUAUGAGAGAUAUCAGGUAUGUCUUUAUCAAUCUUGGUUUGCAUAUGUUCUUUUAUUAUUAUUAGCUGUACGACUACACACACUGAGGCAUGUUUUUGUUUAUCACCUAGAGCCUUUCUAGCCAUCCCAUUAUUAUUAUAAUCCAUUGUUUACCCUGUUGAGCCUGUUAAUCAUUUAUUUUUGAUAUACCCGUUUUUUUUUCUAAAUCCUUGACCUUGUACCUAUCCUACCCUGUUGAGCCUGUAAUCAUUUAUUUUUGAUUUACCCGUUUUUUCUAAAGCCAUGACCUUGUACCUAUCCUACCCUGUUCAGAGUAUGUAAGUUUGAUUUAUUUUUGAUUUCAUUUCCACGUUUCUAUCU